GUCGCUUCACCAAUGUUUACACUUUUGGCCCAGCUGACAGAAGGUCUGCCAGUGUGUCACUUUUACUCAUUUUACGUCCUGGUUGAUCUUGCCACAUCAUGGGACAGACAUCGUCAAGUGGAGUUAAAGCUCAUAUGGAGACAGCACAGAAGACAGGUGCAUUAGUGCUGUCUAACAGGAAAUUAACGGAGAUUCCAGACCUCUCAUCAAUGAGUAAGGUCCUGCGGACACUUGAUCUUUCGACAAACAAGCUGACAUCUGUUCCACCUUCUGUGUGUAGUCUCUCCAACUUGAAGCAUUUGAAUUUGAACGGAAAUAAGAUUGGCAGCCUCCCAGAAGAAAUUGGAAGUCUGACAAAGCUCGAGUCUUUGUCCUUGGUGUCCAAUCAUAUUACUAGUCUGCCUCCUUCAAUGUCAAACCUAAAACAUUUGAAGUCAGUCAUAAUCAGUGAUAAUCAAGUAACAGAAUUCCCGGUGGUCCUGUGUGGCCUGCCCCAGCUGGAUGUGUUAGAUAUCAGUGGCAAUAAGAUCACAGAGAUACCUGAUGGCAUAGAAGAUCUUCAGGCAGUAGAAGUUAACUUGAACACGAAUCAGGUCUCCUCGAUAUCACCCUCAAUUGCAUCGUGUCCCCGCUUGAAAACCCUCCGCCUGGAGGAGAACUGUCUGGCUCUCACCGGAAUCCCCACUGAGCUCCUGCAGGAUUCCCAGGUCUCACUGCUGUGCUUUGAAGGAAAUUUGUUCCAGAUGAAGGAGUUUGAGGAAUUAGAGGGACAUUCCAAGUACAUGGAGAGAUACACAGCAGUAAAGAAGAAGAUGUUCUAAAUGAGGCUUCAGACAAACUGCAAGAAAUGGAGAGCCGUUAAAGAAGAGAUAGAGCCAAGACUGCAAAAUAAUUCUAAAGUGUUUGGAUCUGAUAGACAUACAUAUUAACAUGGGAACCAAAGAAAAAUAUCGACUUCAGGCAUAAUAUUCAUUUGUUGACUUGAAGAAAUGAAUGAGCACUUGCUUCAGUCCUUGGCCAACAGCACUGGAAACAGAGUCAAGGUAUGUCUGUGUGGUAUAUGUAUAUGAUUUUGUCAUUAAAUGUAUAUUUUGCAGUAAAAGUGCCUCUUUUCUAUAAUUGCAGUGAGGCGAGUUACUUUUCAAAUGUAUAUGAUUUUAUGCAUGUUUUUGAAGGCUUUGUGCAAUAAUAUACUAUUAAUGUAAACAACUCCUUUUUGUGGUUAUGUAAUCUUUUGUGUUUAUUUUCUCUUCUUACUUUUUAUGUGUGUUAAAAGCAUAACACAUAAGACAGUGAUGAUCUGACUGAAAUGAGUCCUGUAUAAUGGAAAUUAAAGAGGAAGAAGAUUGUAUAUACCAAAAAAUGCUUUAGGUUGCCCCUAGCAGGCUGAUAUUUACCUCACUCUGAGAUGCCAAACUGAAAAAUCCGCCUUUUCUACUUUGCUUGAGGUGGAGCCACAUAGACCUCAAAUCCCUUUGAAAUCUGCUGCUGCAUAGUUUGUUGCAUGCCUAAUGGAGGUGACAAACAUGGCCAAGUGUCAUAAUAAACUCAUAUUGAUGUUCAGGGGCUUGUUUUAUUCUUUAUUUUUUAAUUUUGCUUUGGUCAUAUAUUUUUUUUUUACGAACUUAGACUGACUCGAAGUUGUGGAUGAGAUUAGUUGCUUCUUGUUUAAUAGCAAUUACGUGUUCCAAAUGUGUCUUCAUAAAGAUAAGAAUAUUUGCUUGUUUCCUUUAAUGUGAAGGCGUGUAAAAUGUUGAUACAGUGUCGUUUGUUUAUGGUGAAAAUUUUGAAAUUCUGAGUGUAUGAAGUGUAAUUCGUCAGUGGAAACCAAGUUUAAAAAAGUAAAUAGGUGUAGAAAGAAACUGCUUAAAAUCGAUACCAUUAUUGUCAUAGAAAUAAUUUCUUGUGAUUGAGCAGCUUUAUGGAAAGUUAAUAGGUGCUUUGAUGUAUUUAUUUUGUAUUUGAUUUACAUUAAUUUAUAUUAUGUAUGUGCAUUUUUCUGUUUAUGAUUAGAUAGAGUGUUAUUGUCUUGUUAUUGAAAGUAUUUGCAUUUAUUACCAACAGAUGAGCACCCGAAUAUUCUUAUUUAAAAGCUGCUGGCCAUAAUAGGAUUUAUCAAACCCAUUUGUAAUGUAAUAUGAUACUAUGAUUGUAAUAUUCUAUCAGUGUAUUUUUUCCUUUCCUUAAAUCAGCAGUUUAUUUCUUUUAUUCAUACUUUCUUAAAUCUUAAAUAUGUUUUUUCCUUAGUCUUAAAAAUGAUUUAUGUUAAUUAUAAAUCUCAUUAGUGGUCUUCUGUUAAAUUGUUCUUGUUCAUAAUUUUUAAUGGUGUUACCAGUGUGAUAGUAAUUAUUCACCCAGUUACCUAUAAUGUAAAAGUAUCAAAUGAAUUUUCUUCCAAAUAAUAAACAAGGUACAGGCAUGUCUGAGAAAGAUCUACUUUUAUAUAUAUUUUUUUGUCAUGACUUGUUGGGUCAUUUUAAAUACUUUCAUUCUUUAAGGUCUCACAGAGGAAGCUCUCUGAGCAGGUUGUGGAAGUAAACAGCUUCAAGAAAAAGACAAAAAAAUUAAUGAUGAUGCCAAGUUCCUUUUGCAUUGUUGCAGUUGUUAAGUUGCUAACUUGCAUAUUCCAAUGUAGGAAAAACAUUAUUGCCUUAAGCAAAAAGUUGGCAAAGCAGGAUAUGCUGACUUCUCACCAGCUGUAAAGUAGUCUUCAUGUUGGCGUGAAUGUCAGUGGCUCUGUGGCUGCUUACAGUCCGUGAGUAAGCAGGUAUAAGGUGUCAUAGGUUCAUAGUUAUAGUAGGUGUCAGUAAAGAUUAGCUAGUUGCCAAGCCUUUAUAUAUAAAUCUGAAAUAUUUUUGCACUACUAUUUUUAAUAAACAUGCAAUUUUUUUUCCACCUUUAACUCAUGUAUAUUGUCAAUUCAUAUGCUCCCCUUUACUUGUAUGAUUGAAAGUAUGGGUGUAACAUAAUCAUUGCUUCAUUAUGAGGCAUUUUUCUUAAGAAUAACUCUUUGUUUGUCAUCGUUUUUAUACAGGUUUCCCUUAUGUUUAUUGUACAGUAAUUCUAUACAAGAAAGUCAGGAGAGUAUAGAUCAUUUGGAUAUCCAUAAGUAAUAUGAAAUAAUUGUAUACAUUAGAUAAUGCUUUGAAGAAUAGUAGGAAUACUGAGACUUUAGGUAGGAAGAAAGCAAGUCUUUUGGAAGUUAAUGAUAAUGAAUGGAACUCAGCAGCUAAAAGUGUAUUGCAAAUUAGUCCUGGGUUUUAAGAACUUGAUAAGAUAAUUUCAAGAAGCAUAUGUAUGAAACAACAAUUGUUCAGUUCAAGAUGAAUUGUGUUAUUCAAAUAAAUUUAUUGUAAGUUUGCACAUGUCCGGUAUCACCGAGUAAAUGAUAUAUCAUCGUUGAGUGAAUGUAAUGUAAACACGUUCAGGUAUGGAUGUAACAGCAAGAAUAAAGAUAUAGAAAACCUUUCAAGUAAUUGUAUUAUUCUUCUUCAGGUUACAUGGACAUAAGAGAUUGUUUUCCUAUUCCUACACCUAAGUAUGGUUACAGGGCCAUUAAAUAAUAGGCUUAAAAUACACUAGAAUCACAAAAAAUACACACAUCUGUACCAAUGUAGUUAUAGGUUUUGUUAAGCAUCUGUAUAACUAAUUGGUAAACAUUUCUUGCAGUGUUGUUGCUUGAUGCUGUUCAGUGAGUGAUGUAAAACACGUCACUUAGUAGUAAUACUCUGUUUUAUUCUCAUGAAUGGAGUGUGGAGGUUUAGUUUAAGAAAAUGACAAGUGGACAGAGGCUAAAAUUAGUUCUUAAGUUUUAAAAGUGUAAAAUUUAUUAUUCUAGUAAAAUCAUAAAUUCUCAUUUUAUAAGGUGUAAUCUGUCAAUAAAUUGAUAAUUAGGUGAAAUAUAUAAAUAAGCAGAUUCCUGGAAAAAUACAUUAAAGUCAUUGAAAGACUUUUUUUUGCAUCUCUCUCGUCUAUUGAUUUUGUGUUUGUAUUAAUUGACAUUUAAUUAACUACUGAUUCAUAAUUGGAUAAAACAGUAUGAUGAUAUGUCAUACUUUCUAUUGUACUGAUGUCAGCUGGAAUGUACUAUAUUUUCUUAUACAACCUACAACAUGAUGUGCUCACAUAGAAUGAACAUGUGAUAUUUUUGUCACUUUAAAUUCCCUUUUCCAUCAUCUGAAUUUGAUCUUUAUGUCUUGGAGAGUUAGAGUGACAAGGAAGCUUGUGAUAAUGAUAAAUGUCAGUGAUUUUACUUUCUUGUGCUGCACAUGAUGAAUGACUUUGAACUUUUUAUUUCAUGCCCCAUUUUUUGACUCCUUCCCUUCUCAUUUUUUGAAUCUCCAAAUAUUUGUGUAUUGCAAUUGCCUAUCUUAUCUUUAUUCACAUUUUUGUUUGUGUUAUUUUACGUUUUUUCUGUAUGGAACCACCUUCCUUAUGUUAUUUAUUGUAACCGUUCACUCAUUGUUGCAAUUUCAAUAAAGAUUUACACAAAAACUAAA
rnacentral:misc_RNA from 1 species